rnacentral:tRNA from 1 species
AAAGGGAGACCUAAUUCAGGUAGGAGACGAAAAAAAAGUAGUCGCUACCAAGAAUCAAUCCCAAAAGGUCGGAGCGAGGCGAAAUUGGCUUUCAAACUAGGUUCUGGGUUCAAACAAGACCUGAAUCAGGAACAAGGGCUAUUAGCUCAGGUGGUUAGAGCGCACCCCUGAUAAGGGUGAGGUCCCUGGUUCGAGUCCAGGAUGGCCCACCUGCACAGGUGGCAAAAACAAAAAAAAGAAGCGAGGAAUCAGCACCUUAUCUUAUCUAUAUAUAAAUAUAAGUAAGAGAGAAUGCUGGCUCUGAGUAAAGAGUCCAGAGGAACCUUGAAAACUGCAUAGAGCUAGGUGAAAAAGCCAAAAAAGAAGACCGCAAG